AGGAGAAAGAGAAAAACAGUUACUGGGAAUUUGGAACAUUUAGACCACAUCUAAAACGAGAAAUUGAAAUUGUUACCCUUCAAUGUAAAUAUCAAGGGAGGAGAAGAAGUCUGUGACCUGGCAAUUUUACAAAACAAGAUGCGGUGAAUCUUAAGAUCAUUUCAAUAACAAGCCCUGCAGAAGCAAUAAAGGAAUAUAUAUCCUUA